UUGAUCCUGGCUCAGAACGAACGCUGGCGGCAGGCCUAACACAUGCAAGUCGAACGCUGUAGCAAUACAGAGUGGCAGACGGGUGAGUAACGCGUGGGAACCUUCCCAAUGGUACGGAAUAGCUCAGGGAAACUUGAGGUAAUACCGUAUAAGCCCCUAGGGGGAAAGAUUUAUCGCCAUUGGAUGGGCCCGCGUCGGAUUAGCUAGUUGGUAGGGUAAUGGCCUACCAAGGCAACGAUCCGUAGCUGGUUUGAGAGAAUGACCAGCCACACUGGGACUGAGACACGGCCCAGACUCCUACGGGAGGCAGCAGUGGGGAAUCUUGGACAAUGGGCGAAAGCCUGAUCCAGCCAUGCCGCGUGAGUGACGAAGGCCUUAGGGUUGUAAAGCUCUUUUGCCGGGGACGAUAAUGAC
rnacentral:rRNA from 1 species